rnacentral:lncRNA from 1 species
GGCCUGUUUGAGCAGGCAUUGCAAAUCUUAAAAACAAUAAGAUGAAUAAUCAUCACUGUUUGAUCACUGCCAUUUAUUGAGUACCUUCUCCAUGGCAGAUGCUAAGAUAAGACCUAACAUGCAUCAUCUCUGAUUUUACAAGUCUUCGAGGUUGCAGCCAUGAAAAUGCCCUGGUCAGCCAUGAUUGACCAUGACAGGGGUACUAGUGCAGGCCUGUUCCUGCUGGACAUGGAACCCCUCUAAUGGCUUAAGGACUCCCACUGGCUGGCAGAAACUUUCUUAGAACAACACUGUAGUCUAAGACUCUUCCUACUGAAUUCUCUUUCCUUCUCCCUCUCCUUUCAUGGGGGUCAGGCCUGCACUGCAGUCUGGGGCUUCCUCUGCCUACUUCAGUUCCUUCCUGAACAUUUUACAGGUGUUUCCCCCAAUAAUUCUCUUAUAUGCCUAAUCCCAUCUUGGUGCCUGCAUCUCGAAGGAACUAACACAGUGGACAGGAGUCCCAUUUUGCAGACAGACACUGGAUCAAUGAUGAAGUUACUUGUGUAAGUCCUACAGCCAACAAAUGUUAAGAGCUGGGGUUGUGUGCAGGUAUGUUUGAUUCCACAAGCCAAGUCUUAGAAGCAUACUAGGCUUCCUCUCUAAUGAUCUAUGCAGGCUUAACUGUGAGGACAGGGAGUGAUGACACAUUUCAGUUUGGCCCCUUUGUUUUGUCGAUGAGAAACCUGAGACCAGUGAGGGAAAGGAUUCGCCCAUGGGUGCCAGUGGGAGGGGUGCACCUGGGCUGUGCACAGCCAUUUCCCUCCUUUGGAGGCUGAGGGAGGAGGUCACAGGGAGGCCUCAGGGUAUGGAGGGAGGUCAGGCUGGGGGGCUUAGUGUCUGACCCACCAGCCUGGCAGGCGGGAAUGUGCCUGUAGAAGCCCACGGCCCUCUUGGGGAGAAGCCAUGAAGUGAGGACUGAGUGCUGCCUGGAGGUGCUGGCUGGGAUGCACAGGGAAGAGCUGUCAGGGUAUGGGUCUAACACUGGAACAGCUGGGGGACAUUCCCUGGAUAUCCCUGCAUUGCCUUGAGGCUCUCCCAUCCCUGUUUGAUCCGUAAGCUCCAAGGAGACAUGUUUCCCAGCCAUAAUGCCUUCUGAUCCCAAUCUCUUCUACUCUUUUCAUUGGCAAGAGUCAUUCUCACCCGGGUUUUCUUAUAUAAUAAUUAUAAACUCAUUCAGGGCCUGUGAGUGAAAAGGCACACAUAUACAUUCAGGUCUAAUAUUCACUGAGCAACCAUCAGCACAAUGGUAUGUGACCUCUUUGAAUGCUGCACUAAUGCUCCACUGUCUAGAAGGAGGCCAGACUGCUCUGGGGACCAGGUGCAGAGGGUGCCCUCAAGUGUCUAGUGUCAGAGAGAGAGGGGCUACUCCACUUUGGCCAGGGUGAACUUGAGUUGGUGAUGACAAACAUCUGCAGCUAGUCUAUUUUUCUAAUCUCACCCUCCAAACAGCCCCAUCUUCUUGCAGGGAGGAUGGGUGAAGGCAUUUUCAAAAAUGGACAUCACAUGUGACAAACAGGCAAAGGACCCUGACAGAGCCACAAAACUGACACGCUCAUGAAAACUCAGACCGCUGACAAUGGUGAGCGCCGACCAAUUCAGCGCCAGGCGUGGAGGCUUCUGGCAAGAGUGGUGGGCUCUGUGCGUCCUGAUGGUGGCAGCAGAGACCAGCUUGGGAGCCACCUGGCUCCUCUGCCCUAGCCCAUUAUGGCCUGAAUCCAAUCAAUUUCAGUUCUCAGCACUUCUGAAAACGUGCGUGGCUUAGAGUGUCUGGCAGGGCUCAGGAGAGAAAAGCAUUUCUCAGCCCCGGGACACAUAUAUGCCUCCAGGCACUGGUUGUGGCUUGCAAUCUGGGAGGGCAGGUGAACGGACACCCUCCCUCCUUGCACAGGCCUGGGAUCUGCCUUACUCAACUCCCACUUCUACCAGGAGCAGAGGAUCACCGCUGCCCAGCACCCCGCCCAUCUGAAUUCUGACUCUGGUGGCUUCAGAGAAGCAAGGUAGGGGCCAGUGCUGGUAUGAAAUGCCAGAUGAGAGGAAACUGAUGCAUGCACUUUACUCCUGACUCAGAGUGCCUGAAAUAUCUGGCAAACUGGCAAAGGAUGAAACCCUUCUUUGAGGUCUGUAGAGUAGCUUUAAGAUAAAUGAAGCCACUGAGAAGGUCCAAAACAAGGGGCCCUUAGACGUGGAAGAGGUCUGCUUUCCUGAUAACUAGAGUGGUGCUGGGCUAUGAAAACAGUCCAAAUAGAUGAGGAUAGUUCCUGAGAGCACAGGGUUCUGAAGCUGGACAAAUAUUCUUCCACCUUAAUGGCCCUCUCACUGGAGCCUUCACAGGGUUAACGAUGGUCCCGCAGGAGUUGGGGCCAUGACUGAGGACAUGGAGCUGAUGUGGAGGCAGUCAGGGCCAAGGCAAGAGCCUCCUUGUGUAUAGUGGAAACGCAAGACAGACAUCAAAGGGAGUGGGGUGUGCGGUUCCCAAGGGGCUACCAGAGUCCACUUUUAUUAAAAGUUUGUGUCUUUCUUUAGAAAGUAAUAUGUUCCAUCUCCAGCACCUGAAGGCUCCUUUCAGGGUGCCAGAAGAAUCCUCAAGGGACAGUCCCAGGCUGUGUCCUUCCUCCUGUCUUGGCUGACAUUUUUAUGCAUGGUUUAGGCAGCCCAUGGGCUUUCCAGCUUUGCAAUAAGAUCUGAUCUAAUUUCAAGCUUAUACAUAACAGAAGGGCUGGGGGAGAAGUAGGAGUUCUUUUAGAAUUGCAAAAUCCAGGUGGGUGUAGCCUGUGGGGUGCAGGCUAUCCAGCUCAAAGAGGGAGGCCCAUAUCUCAGAUUCCCUAAUGCUCGGCACAGUGUCUGGCACACAAUGGGCACACAGGAAAUCCUGCACUGAAUCAAACAGAUUUUGUAUUACCAGAUCUAGGCUGACUCACUGUGUGGUCAGGACCUUGGGUCAAUCACUUCACCUGGUGACUCACUCCCUACCUGUAAGGUGUGGAGGACAGCUGGAGUCACUGUGGCACCUGUGUGUUUAGCAGUGUGUUUGCUUGUUCCUGCUUUUAUGUCUCUGGCUGGUCUAAGAUGGAAUGAUAAAAAAAUAACGGAAUGCACUUUGUAAACGAGAGCAUCCUAGACACAUGUAAAGAUUGGAAAAUUAGAAAGCUGUCUCUACUGUAGUUACUUCUCAGAUAUGACCAACCAUUAUUAAGAAUUCAUUGGCUAAUAGGGCUACAUUUUCUCAUGAUCAUUCUUCUGUUUUAGAAGUGGGCAACUGCAGUUUUAAGAAUAAAUGUGUAAAUGUGUGUUUUCAUGAGAGACAAUAAAGCUGUUUUCAUUAAGAAUGAAAUAUGCAACUUGCAAACACUUUUACUUUUCUUGAAUUGGGUCCUUCAGCAGAAGCAGUUUGCCCAGCCCUGACAUGGAAAGUUUACUUUGCUCAUCAACCUGAAGGAGACCGAAAGCUAUGAGAGGCGGCUCCUGAAAAGAAUCUAGACUCCGGAUAUAAAAAGAUCUUGCAACACAAGGCCAAGUGGAAAUCAUGGUUCGCAUUAAAGGCAUAAACCUCCUGCACUAACAACCCAGAGCAGGAGGAAAAGCUGGGAGACCUGGCUCAGCAGCCUUCCCUGAGGGAAGCCUUCGGGGCUUUGUUCCUCUUGAGAUCAGGGCAAGCCUAUGUAUGACCUGAAGCCAAUACAACCAGCAGAGCUGAUGCCAGUGCUGGCUGCCUGAGUGCUACUAAAGAAAGAGUCCACCAUCGGCUCCCUCUUCCGUAGCCAGACACAGGUGGAAUGCUGUGCUUCCUUUUGGGAGACAAAGCAGAAGCUACCCCAGAGGGGGCAGAUGGGAGACAGGCCCAGGCAAUGCAGCCCUACAAAGAAGACUUGAAGGGCCGGGGCUGAGCAGCUUGGAUGAAGAGAAGGCUGCCUUUCAGAGCUGUUUCAAAUGUUUCAGACGUUGCUAGACAAACUAGAGUUGUAUGGCUUCAGAUGGCACAGCUUAGGGCCAUAGAGUGGGAAUCACAAGAAGGCAAACUUUAGGCCCCCAGGAGAGCUGGACAACAACCUGGAGGGUCAGAGGAGAAUGGGCUGUCCAAGGAGCGGGGAUAUGAGGGUGGGGCAGUGUGGCCAUCCCUGGAAGGGGUAAGGGAGUGGCAGAUGGUAACCAUUUGGGGUGGGGUGUGGCUGAGGAUUCCUGCAAGGCUAUCAGAGAAACUCUAAGAAUCAUAAGAAUCAAAGCUCAAGUACAUGAGGGAAGACAUAAUGAAAUCCCUAAAGUUCUGAGAGGUUGUACCAGAUUCUUUAUGGAGAAUACAGAGAGAAUGCCUCCUGACUCCUCAUUCACAGAGUGCCAGGCAGCAGCAAGGAGAAGCUGGUGGCCUUGGGAGGGCAAAAACUAAGGACAAGGUCCACAAUGCAAUCAGCUCACAUCACCUACGAACAAAUAAAGUGGGGUGGGGGUGGAGAGUUGCUAGAGUUUACGUAACUCUCAAGCCUUAAUUUAGCUGCAAGAACUAGGUUUUUGCCAAAGCUAUAGAACUUCCCACCAGAUGAAAGCUUUAUCUCUUUUUCUUUCUUAGGAGAAGAGAGACAGAAGGAGAGAAGAGGGGCAGGAGGAGAGAAAACACAAGAAAGAGGAUGGAAGAUAAAGAGGAAGGCCAGAGUGAGGCAGGAGAAAGCUGAGCUGGAACCUAACUCCUGUUGAUCUGCUGCAGAGACCCUCUCAUUCCACAAUUGCUCCCGCCAUGGUAAGCUCCAUUCCUAAUUACCUAGGCAAACUGGCCUGCAUUUCUCUCCAGAGUUCUAAAGGAUGGUGUGAGAGUGUCUGCCAAGAUUUGGAUUUUACAGAGACAAGUCUCAGCUUUUGCUUUCUGGUUCAAGGUUUAUGCUUUUGGAAGGCUGUGAUGACAGCAGCAGGAAAUAGGACAAAUAGGAGUUUUUGUUAGGGGGGCAGCUAAUAGAACAGCCUCAUGAAGGACCUAGGCACACCCUAGAGAUGCAAGGGACAGGCCUGCAGUGGUGGCUCCUAUAAACCCAGUGCACUGAAUCCCCAGAGCUUGCAGCCCAUGGCUUGGGGUCUGGUCCAGUGCACUCGUCAGAGAGCAUAACAGGACCUUUGGGACUCCUAGGGAACCUCUUGGAGAGUCCUGGGACCUGCCUAAAGUACCUGACUUGAGCACACCAGCAUCUGUGUACCCUUAGCUUCAAAUUCUCCAAAGCCAGAAAAGGAAAAAGACACAAUGUCCUGGCCUGAUCAUGCCUGAGAAUCACUUACCUAAAAAGAACAUUGGGGCUUUUGACCUGACAUCCUCCCAGGCAUGCUGACAUCUCUCAGCACUUUCUCUCCCCUCACAAAAGAACUUGUUGAGGAGGAAGGAGAAGAGGCAGCGGCUAGUGGUUAGCAGAGACAGUGGCCAAGUGUCCAGGAAGAGGGGAUGGGCAGGCCUACCUGAGGAAGGGCUGAUGUCUAAGGAGGGGGUCUGCUCCCUCUGGCACACAGCCUGCCUGCUCCUGAGACCCUGUGGCUUCUCCUGGAGCACUGUGCAAAGCUGCUUGGUAUUCUCACUUGGUUCUGUUGGAUGGCUGCAAAGCUGUCUGGCCCUGCUCUCCUCAGUUGCCAAAGGUUCACUGCCGGCUCCAGUUUGCCUGGAACGAAACAGCUCAGGCAACACAGCUGUGCAUCCUUGUGAGACUGCCUAAUUUCCCAUUUCAAGGCAGGAUGCCAUACCCCAAGGUGUAAUUUGAGUUUUGGGCAUAAGCUGAAUUUUGCAACUGAAUUCUGAAACUCAGCCCUCCAGGCUGUGCGUGCUUGGGAAUUAAAAAGCUUUCUUCUCCUUUUCCCUCCUCCACUAUCUACCACCCUCCCCAAUAUCAAUACUGAUACCAUCAUUAAUGUUAAAUUUCUAUUUAUUGAGUGUCUACUAUGUGCUAGGCACUUGUAUGGCUGCACCUGACAGCAAUGGCUUACCUUAAGCCUAUCCUGAGAAUGACACUAUGGUCUAAGAAGAAUGUGUGCUUGGAAUUCCAAGCUAAGAAAUCUGGAAGUGGCCGAUCUGGAGAUUCAUUCCUUACUUAUGGGAAACAUCUAAACCUCUGGCCCAUUUCAUGGAAUGCAGGCUGUACAGGGGACUGAAGCCCUUUGUUUUGGGUUAAAUGAAAGUUGACAGGUGGAGGUUGUUAGGGGGAGGGCGCUAAGUGAAAAUGCUAUAUCAACUGCAUGCUUUUUACCAGCAGAUGCAGUUCUAUCCAGCUCAUCACCACUGGACUCCUCUGUAUGUGAGUCCCCUCAAUAAACCUGAUGUCUCAUUUGCUGGCUGCAGGUCUCUUUUUCAGCCUGUUGAACAUGGUACCAUCACUACUGAAGUCAACAAGGGUCCAGCAUGACAACACUGUACUAAUCAAUUUCCCUGUAUCAUCUUAAUCUUCACAAAACCCUAUGAGGUAGAAAAGGACAAAUCUUAACCCAUGUCCUAUGUGAUUAUAAGGGUACUCACCCUCCACCUUUUAAUUAUUCUCUUUUGGGCUACAAAUCUGUGGAUCUGCAUACCUGAAUGAUUCACUGUGGCUUUCUGGUAGAAAAACUAAUAACACCAUUUGUCCAUGUCAAGCCAAGGAGACAAGCUCAACAUACAAAGAACAAGGAGAGAACAAUGGAAGAUGGCCUAUAAUUCAGAAGCACAUUGGGUGGAGCAUAUUGCACAUGUAGAAGCUUGUCACGGAACCCAAGAAAGCUGGAGGAACCUGGGAAGGCUUCCUGGAAGAAGGGAAAGCUGAGUUCUCUUAUCACCACUCCACCAUUUGUUCAUGUCCUCAUGUACAUAUUCAACAAACAUUUAUUGAGGGCUGAGUGUGGCUUUGUGUAUCCCAGAUAAACUAGUAUCCUGAUCUUAGCCAUGGAUCUCAGCUGCUACUAUCUCAUUCCCCACCAUGGGCAAUAAGAUGCAUACUGGUAGGGAAAAUUCUGGCAAAUUUUGUAAAGUUUAUCCAUAGGCAUAAACACUUUACCCUGUGUUAUGCUCAGAAGAGGAACACACAUUUAUUAAGCACCUACCACAUCUGCAAAUAACUUUACUCCCAAAAACUGAUUUGAUACUUAAGCAGCUUUUGUAAGGUGUGUUUCAUUCCCUAAAACUAAAGUUCAGAGAGGUUAAAAGAUUUAUCCAAGGUCACACAUUCAAGGUGGAGCCAAGAUGCACAACUAAGUCUAUUACUGUUUUUUUCAUACUCCCCCACUUCUCUGUCUCCCUCUUUCUAUUCUCAGCUGCAGACUCUGCCAGCUGCAAACUUCUUUAGUAGUUAUUCCUGAUUACUUCUGCUCCUGGUGAGCUCAUCACCUGAUUAAAGGGCUCCUAGCUUCACCAGACCUUGGAGAUGACAAACAGAUGACCCUGGAGAGGCAGGCUCUCUAGGGCUGUUCCAUUUUGGUCUGGCCCCCAUUCCAGCCGGGGAUAUAGUUCAAACCCUGACUCUGAGUUGAGCCCAAGAAAAUAAGACCAAGAUGAAAGCUUAAGUGCAUCCCCUGAAAGGCUCUUAUCUCCAGGCUAAGCUUGGAAGUGGGGAGACAGAGCACCACAACCCAACUUGGGGAUGUUGUCUCUUGUAGAAACACCUUCCUCAGUAACAGAAGGGUAGCUGCCCCUAUGUCCUAGAGAGCGGGAGUAAGAGAAAGUGGCUCCUUGCCUCUGAGAUUUGCUUAGCUGAUCCUCCCUCACCCCAACCAUAGCUCUUAACAAACCCAGGUACGCAUAAAUAUAAAUACCACCCUAUGUGUAUUUCCUGUGCCCUCCCUUUUCUCUUUCCUGAGGAGUUAUGGAGAGAAAAUAAAUGCCAGAAUUACAGAAAACUAGGUAUAAAUCUACUCACUAGCUUUAUGGCCUUGCAUCUAUUUCCCAUAUAAGCUGGCAGGGUUGGGAUUCUGUCUAGCUCUUUCCAUUUAUCAUGAUGUCCUCUUUUUGGUUCUUUUAGAUUUUGCAUCGGGUUGAUGUAGUGGAUGCUGUAGUCCACUACCCAGAUUCCUUCCCCAACCCACAACAAUGAGGUUCUCAUUCCGGAGCUGCUAGGAGGGAUGCCAGAUAAUAGCACACAGCUGAACUUCUCUUCAGCUAUUGCCCUCAGAUUAAGAAAGCUGCCUUGCUCAAGGUUACACGCCUUUCCUGGGAAACCAGUAUCCAAUGACUGGUUCCUGUAAAAGGAAUGGAGCUGCCUUAAAAGAGCUGCCUUGCUUCAAUUUGGGAAGACUAUGAAGAGCCAUCCCAGCUCUGGAGUUCUCCGUAGGGUUGGGUUUUUGAGACUAUGCAGAAGUUAUUCCAUGAGUUCCAAGCCCAGGUCAUGAAAGAUAACUUGUAAUAAAUCUGGCUACCCUGAAGCUGCCAUGCUUGAGAGACCACACGAGAUGGAGAGAGAUGCUUAGGAGUCCCAGCUGUCCAAGCCUCCAGCUAUGUGAAUCUUCCCAGCAGCAACUGCCAGACAUGUGGUACACCCAAAAUGACUUUGGGGCUACACUUGGAAUUGGCAAGGUUCCAGAAAACAGAGGGACUAUCAUCAGAGACAGCGCACAAAAAGUGGGAGAAAGGUCACCAGCCUCACUCAUGUUUAGGGCUAUUAUGAAUAAAGCUGCUAUGAACACUUGUUUACAAGUUCUUUGUGAGGACACAUGUUUUCAUUUAUCUUGGGAAAAUACCUAGAGAUGGAACUCUGGGACACAUGGUAAUAAAGUAUAUUGGCAUAAUGCAAGAGUCAAGAUGCAGAAAAUAACUACUGUGUGAUGUCUCUCUCCCAGCUUUAACCCGCCUGAAGGGCAGCACUGAGUUCAACACACUGUCCCACAAUUGUUGCACUCUCACACUGAAGUGAACAGAUUCUUUCUCCGUGCCGUGCAGCUCCCGGCAGAGGAUGAGGGAAGGGUACCAUCGGUGAUUCAGCACUGUGUUUCCUAUCCUCUUCAAUGACUCUUUCAGCGAUAUGAAGGUAAAACCAGGUACUGUGAGUGCUCAUCUUAUUUUUGGUUCUUUUGAAGGUGUUUUUUGGUGUAGAUAGUUAUUAAAUUUGGUGUUCCCGCAUGGGGGAACAAUUGAUAGAGCCUUCUAUUUGAUCAUUUUGCUCUGCUCAUUCUAUAUACCACAUUUUCUUUAUCAAAUCUUAUUUAAUUUUGAUUCCAUAAUUUACUAAAGACUAAAUGUGAUAUGCUAAGUUUUUCACAACAAUUAUAUUUUAUCCCACUUUUUUGUCUUCAAAUAGCUUUUGCUUUUGUAUUUCUGUGCUAUGUUAUAGUACAUUACACAUUCAUUGUGGAUUGCAACUUUUAUAAAACAAUCCUCUAUCCAAAGCAUUUUCCUCUGGAGUUUUAUUUUAACCAAUAUUAAUAGUGCCACUACUACCUUGUUCUGACUUUUGCUUUUUUUGAUUUAAAAAUAUAUUUGUUUUAUUUUUGUCUGAUUUUUCUCUAUCUUUAUUUGUAAAUCUUUUGUGUCAUUUGAGUUAGGUGAAUGGAGCACAUGGCUAUGCUUUGUUUUAAAUGAAAGUCUUUGUCAUCCAGCGGAGGACUUUAAUUCAUUUACAUUUAUUGACAUAAAUGUUGACUUGAAAGCGUGUGUCAGAUCCCUUCACUAUAUCUUCAGACCUGCCCCAAGGAGUGAGGAAGGGCAACACCAAGAACUUCUCUCCAAGGACCAUAACCUGCGAACCCCAUCUCACCUCCUCCUGCCAGAUGGACAC